rnacentral:rRNA from 1 species
AUUGAACGCUGGCGGCAUGCCUUACACAUGCAAGUCGAGCGGCAGCGCGGGGGCAACCCUGGCGGCGAGCGGCGAACGGGUGAGUAAUACAUCGGAACGUGUCCUGUCGUGGGGGAUAACCAGUCGAAAGAUUGGCUAAUACCGCAUGACCUCGUAAGAGAAAAGCGGGGGAUCGCAAGACCUCGCGCGGUUGGAGCGGCCGAUGUCGGAUUAGCUAGUUGGCGGGGUAAAAGCCCACCAAGGCGACGAUCCGUAGCUGGUUUGAGAGAACGACCAGCCACACUGGGACUGAGACACGGCCCAGACUCCUACGGGAGGCAGCAGUGGGGAAUUUUGGACAAUGGGGGCAACCCUGAUCCAGCCAUGCCGCGUGUGUGAAGAAGGCCUUCGGGUUGUAAAGCACUUUCGGCCGGAACGAAAUCGCGCGGGCUAAUACCCAGCGUGGAUGACGGUACCGGAAGAAGAAGCACCGGCUAACUACGUGCCAGCAGCCGCCGUAA